rnacentral:rRNA from 1 species
UGAGGAAUAUUGCGCAAUGGGGGCAACCCUGACGCAGCGACGCCGCGUGAGUGAGGAAGGCCUUCGGGUCGUAAAGCUCUGUCAAAGGGAAAGAAGUGCAUGGUGGCUAAUACCUGCCAUGUUUGACGGUACCCUUAAAGGAAGCACCGGCUAACUCCGUGCCAGCAGCCGCGGUAAUACGGAGGGUGCAAGCGUUGUUCGGAAUCACUGGGCGUAAAGGGCGCGUAGGCGGUUUGAUAAGUCAGAUGUGAAAGCCCACGGCUUAACUGUGGAAGUGCAUUUGAAACUGUCAGACUUGAGUAUCAGAUGGGAAAGUGGAAUUCCCGGUGUAGAGGUGAAAUUCGUAGAUAUCGGGAGGAAUACCGGUGGCGAAGGCGACUUUCUGGCCCGAUACUGACGCUCAGGCGCGAAAGCGUGGGGUGCAAACA